rnacentral:lncRNA from 1 species
AUGCCCAUUGCCCAGUCACCCCAUCUGCUCACCCACCUCUCCUCCAGCAACCAAGAGGUCGUAUCGUUGAGCUGGGUCUGGAAGAGCCCUUCCAGACAGGUGUCAUCACUGCCUUACUCACCUGCUGAGGUCAUACUUUGGACCAGCCCCCGCCCCAGCGGAGACAAGUUUUCCCUCUGUAUGGAGUAUGCAGGGCACUGGGUAAGUGAGCAGUCUGUCAUCUACAGGGGUCUCAAAAACUGGGGCACAGAGCCAAGGGGUUACAUAGCUCC